rnacentral:rRNA from 1 species
UUCAAGGUUGUAGGGUGUGCCGUAGGUAAAUCCGCGGUGCGUGUGCCUGAGAGCUGACGAGUAGCCCGUUUGGGUGAAUUCGGUGAUCCUAUGCUGCCUAGAAAAGCAUCGGCGCGAGGUUCAAACUGCCCGUACCCUAAACCGACACAGGUGGUCAGGUAGAGAAUACUAAGGCGAUCGAGAGAAUCAUGGUUAAGGAACUCGGCAAAAUGCCCCCGUAACUU